ACGGGAGGCAGCAGUCGGGAAUAUUGCGCAAUGGAGGAAACUCUGACGCAGUGACGCCGCGUAUAGGAAGAAGGUUUUCGGAUUGUAAACUAUUGUCGUUAGGGAAGAAAAAAGACAGUACCUAAGGAGGAAGCCCCGGCUAACUAUGUGCCAGCAGCCGCGGUAAUACAUAGGGGGCAAGCGUUAUCCGGAAUUAUUGGGUGUAAAGGGUGCGUAGACGGGCGCUUAAGUUGGUUGUGAAAUCCCUCGGCUCAACUGAGGAACUGCAACCAAAACUGGGUGUCUUGAGUGUCGGAGAGGAAAGUGGAAUUCCUAGUGUAGCGGUGAAAUGCGUAGAUAUUAGGAGGAACACCGGUGGCGAAGGCGACUUUCUGGACGAUAACUGACGUUGAGGCACGAAAGUGUGGGGAGCAAACAGGAUUAGAUACCCUGGUA
rnacentral:rRNA from 1 species